AUGGAGACGGAGAUGGCGGCGCCGGCCAAGAUGUUCCCGCUGGCUGUGGACUCUGAGCACAAGGCCAAGUCCUUCAGGCUCUUCUCCUUCGCCGCCCCGCACAUGCGCGCCUUCCAUCUCUCCUGGAUGGCCUUCUUCGUCUGCUUCGUCUCCACCUUCGCCGCGGCGCCGCUCAUCCCCAUCAUCCGCGACAACCUUAACCUCACUAAGCGCGACAUCAGCAACGCCAGCGUGGCCUCCGUGUCCGGCUCCAUCUUCUCGAGGGUCGCCAUGGGCGUGGUGUGCGACCUCCUCGGCCCCCGCUACGGCUGCGCCUUCCUCGUCCUGCUCACGGCGCCCGCCGUGUUCUGCAUGUCCCUCGUCCACGACCCGGCGGGCUACAUCAUGGUGCGCUUCCUCAUCGGCUUCUCGCUCGCCACGCUCAUCUCCUGCCAGUACUGGAUGAGCACCAUGUUCAGCGGCAACAUCAUUGGCGCCGUCAACGGGCUUGCCGCCGGCUGGGGCAACGUCGGCGGCGGCGCCACGCAGCUCAUAAUGCCACUCGUCUACGAGGCCAUCCGCAGCAGGUGCGGCGCCACGCCCUUCUCGGCCUGGCGCGUCGCCUACUUCGGCCCCGGCACGCUGCACAUUGUCGUCGGCAUCAUGGUGCUCACGCUGGGGCAGGACCUCCCCGACGGCAACCUCUGGAGCCUGCAGAACAAGGGCCAAGUCGCCAAGGACAAGUUCGCCAAGGUGGCCUGGGGUGCCAUAACCAACUACCGUAGCUGGAUCUUCGUGCUCCUCUACGGAUACUCCGCUGGCGUCGAGCUCUGCACCAACAACGUCAUCGCCGAGUACUACUACGACCACUUCCACCUAGGCCUCCGCACCGCCGGCACCAUCGCCGCCAGCUUUGGACUCGCCAACAUUUUCGUGCGCUCCAUGGGCGGCUACUUCUCCGACGUCGGCGCGCGCUACUUUGGAAUGCGCGCCCGUCUCUGGAACAUUUGGAUCCUCCAGACCGCCGGCGGCGCCUUCUGCUUCUGGCUCGGCCGCGCCUCGAGCCUGCCCGCUUCCGUCACCGCCAUGGUCCUCUUCUCCAUCUGCGCCCAGGCCGCUGAGGGCGCCAUCUUCGCGGUCAUACCCUUCGUCUCCCGCCGCUCCCUCGGCAUCGUCUCGGGGAUGACCGGCGCCGGCGGGACCUUGGGCGCGGCCUUCAACCAGCUGCUCUUCUUCACCUCGUCCAAGUACGGCACUGGGCAGGGGCUCCAGUACAUGGGCAUAGUGACAAUGGCAUGCACGCUGCCAGUCAUGCUUGUGCAUUUCCCGCAGUGGGGCUCCAUGCUCUUCCCAGCCAACGUCGGCGCUGACGAGGACAAGUACUACGGCGCGGAGUGGUCGGAGGAGGAGAAGAGCAAGGGACUCAACGCCCGCACCGUCAAGUUCGCCCAGAACUGCCGAUCAGAGCGCGGCAGGCACCGCAACGCCAUCCUCGCCAACGACACCAACCAGCAUGCAUGA
rnacentral:rRNA from 1 species